AGUCAUUACAGAAAUAAAAAUCAAAACCAUUUUGAGAUGGUACUUCACUAGACUGGCUAUAAUAAAAAACACAGAAAAUAACUCGUUAUUUUAAUGAGGAAGUGUACAAAGUGGAACCCUCAUUCCCUGCUAGUGGGAAUGUAAAAUAAUGUAACCACUGUGGAAAAUGGUUUGAUAGUCCUUGGGAAUUAAACAUAGAGUUACUAUAUGAUGCAACAAUUCCACUCCUAUUUACAUACUCAAGAGAAUAGCAAACACAAAAACUUGUGUAUUAAUGUUUACAGCAGUAUCACAAUUUAAUAUUAGAAUAUUUUCUCUUCCCUGCUUAAAGAAACCCUGCACUGAUUAGCAGCCAAUCAGCAUUAUCACCCACUCCCACCUUCUAGCAGGAUUGACUGUUAAUCUGCAUUCUGUCUCCAUAGAUUUGCCUAUUGUGGAUAUAGGCAGCAGUUUACAGCGGCAUUAUUCUCGAUAGCCAAAAAGUAGAAAAAAAUGCCAAUGUCCGUCAACUGAUGAAUUGAUCAGUAAAGUAUGGCACUUCCUUUUAGCAGGAAAGAAAAUGUCUUAAAAUUAAAUUGUGAUGAUGGUUGUGAAAGCAUUAAUAUAUGAAAAAAUACUGAAUUGUACACUUUUCAGUUUUAAUUUUUGUUUUUUUGAGACAGGGUCUCAUUCUGUCACCCAGGCUGGAGUGCAGUGGUAUGAAGUUGGCUCACUGCAACCUCAACCUCCUGGGUUCAAGCUAUCCUCCCACCUCAGCUUCCUGAGUAUCUGGGAACACAAGUACACAACAUCAGAUCUGGCUAAUUUUAAAAAAUUUUUUAGGGUCUCACUAUUUGCCCAGGCUGGUCUUGAACUCCUGGCCCCAGAUGAUUCUUCUGCCUUAGGCUCCCUAAGUGUUAGGAUUAUAAGCAUGAGCUACCAGGCUUGGCCUGAUAUGGUGCACUUUAAAUGGGUGAAUUAUCUGGUAUGUGAAUUACAUCACAAUACAAAUACCAAAAUAAAAAAACAAAAUGUAUCAAAUAUCAUUCUGCAUUCUUAACCAACAGUAACUGGCUCUUGUCAUUUUCAGAGGCAAUUAGGAUUUAAAUUACACAUUCUAAUAAAGUUUCAUUGUAAUUUCAUUAAGCUUUACAACUGCAUGGUGAAUACUUAUAUAAUGAAGUUGCCUUCUGCAUCAUUAUUUAAUAUCAACCAUAUGUAUAGACUAGCAAAAGUUUUGAACUACUGGAUGCCAUUUUGAGCUUGAUAUUUUUCUACUCCCUUUGGCCUAUGUUUAUAGAAAAUAAAUAAUUAUCAUGCCUGUAAUUCCAGCACUUUGUGAGGCCGAGGCAGGCAGAUCAGGAGGUCAGGAGAUUGAGACCAUCCUGGCCAACAUGGUGAAAUCCCGUCUCUACUAAAAUACAAAAAAUUAGCUGGGCGUGGUGGUGUGCACCUGUAAUCCCAGCUAUUCAGGAGGCUGAGGCAGGGUAUCUCUUGAGAGGUGGAGAUUGCAGUGAGCUGAGAUGGUGCCACUGUGCUCCAGCCAGGUGACAGAGCAAGACUUUGUCUCAAUAAAUAAAUAAGUAGAGUUGAAGUAAUUGCGGUCAAAUCAUUCAACUUAUUACAGUUGUAAAUUUUGACAAAAAUUUAGAGAUAAACCUACAUAGAAAAUAAAUUGGAAGCAACACUGUGAGUCCCAAAGAUUUCGUGAAUCCAUCUUUAGUUUGUCAUCCCAAUACUUAUAGUUUCAUUCAGAUUUUCCAAAGAGCCUCGUUCUUCAGUUCAAUUAUCUCUUUGGUCUAUUUGUCUUGCUACCACAACUAUCCUAAUAAUCCCACUUCUAUAAAAAUCUGUCUCCUUCCUCUACUCCAAAUCCUUGGUUGCCAAGCAUUCCUAGGGAGAAUCAGAAAGCCUUGAAUCUCCUCAUGAUUACUAAGAUAUGUUUUUCUUUUGAAUAAGCCCAUAAUCUGUUUAGAACUGUAGUUAUUUAUUCUAAUCAACCCCCCAAACUCUGA
ensembl:lncRNA